AGAGUUUGAUCCUGGCUCAGAAUUAACGCUGGCAGAGUGCAUAACACAUGCAAGUCGAGCGGAAUACGUAGCAAUACGUAUUUAGCGGCAGACGAGUGAGUAACACGUAAGCAAUCUACCCUCGAAUGGCGAAUAACUAGCCGAAAGGUUAGCUAAUACGCCGUACUCUCCUUGGAAGGCAUCUUCCGAGGAGGAUAGAC
rnacentral:rRNA from 1 species